AGUGAACGCUGGCGGUAGGCCUAACACAUGCAAGUCGAACGGCAGCACAGUAAGAGCUUGCUCUUACGGGUGGCGAGUGGCGUACGGGUGAGUAAUACAUCGGAAUCUACUUUUUCUUGGGGGAUAACGUAGGGAAACUUACGCUAAUACCGCAUACGACCUACGGGUGAAAUCAUGGGAUCUUCGGACCUUUCGCGAUUGAAUGAGCCGAUGUGGGAUUAGCUAGUUGGCGGGGUAAAGGCCCACCAAGGCGACGAUCCGUAGCUGGUCUGAGAGGAUGAUCAGCAACACUGGAACUGAGACACGGACAAGAGACCUACGGGAGGCAGCAGUGGGGAAUAUUGGACAAUGGGGGCAAGCCUGAUCCAGCAAUACCGAGUGGGUGAAGAAGGCCUUCGGGUUGUAAAGACCUUUUGUUGGGAAAGAAAAGCAGCAGGUUAAUACCCCGCUGUUAUGACGGUAACCAAAGAAUAAGCACCGGCUAACUUCGUG
rnacentral:rRNA from 1 species